CCCUUAGAUGUUCUGGGCCGCACGCGCGCUACACUGAUGCAUUCAACGAGUUUCUUCCUGGUCCGAGAGGAAUGGGUAACCUUUUGAAAGUGCAUCGUGAUAGGGAUAGACUAUUGCAAUUAUGGGUCUUCAACGAGGAAUUCCUAGUAGACGUAGUUCAUCAGACUGCAUCGAUUACGUCCCUGCCCUUUGUACACACCGCCCGUCGCUCCUACCGAUUGAAUGCUCAGGUGAGCCAUUCGGACUUUCAUCAUGCUGGUUUCCAGUUUUGAUGAAGGAAAGUCUUGCGAACCUUAUCAUUUAGAGGAAGGAGAAGUCGUAACA
rnacentral:rRNA from 1 species